AUUGAACGCUGGCGGCAUGCCUUACACAUGCAAGUCGAACGGCAGCACGGGGCAACCUGGUGGCGAGUGGCGAACGGGUGAGUAAUGCAUCGGAACGUACCUUUCAGUGGGGGAUAACGUAGCGAAAGUUACGCUAAUACCGCAUAUUCUGUGAGCAGGAAAGCAGGGGAUCGCAAGACCUUGCGCUGAUUGAGCGGCCGAUGUCAGAUUAACUAGUUGGUGAGGUAAAGGCUCACCAAGGCGACGAUCUGUAGCGGGUCUGAGAGGAUGAUCCGCCACACUGGAACUGAGACACGGUCCAGACUCCUACGGGAGGAAGCAGUGGGGAAUUUUGGACAAUGGGGGCAACCCUGAUCCAGCCAUGCCGCGUGAGUGAAGAAGGCCUUCGGGUUGUAAAGCUCUUUCGGCCGGGAAGAAAUCGCACGGGCUAAUACCCUGUGUGGAUGACGGUACCGGAAUAAGAAGCACCGGCUAACUACGUGCCAGCAGCCGCCGUAA
rnacentral:rRNA from 1 species